AUUGAACGCUGGCGGCAUGCCUUACACAUGCAAGUCGAACGGCAGCAUGAUCUAGCUUGCUAGAUUGAUGGCGAGUGGCGAACGGGUGAGUAAUACAUCGGAACGUGCCCUGUAGUGGGGGAUAACUAGUCGAAAGAUUAGCUAAUACCGCAUACGACCUGAGGGUGAAAGUGGGGGACCGCAAGGCCUCAUGCUAUAGGAGCGGCCGAUGUCUGAUUAGCUAGUUGGUGAGGUAAAGGCUCACCAAGGCGACGAUCAGUAGCUGGUCUGAGAGGACGAUCAGCCACACUGGGACUGAGGCACGGCCCAGACUCCUACGGGAGGCAGCAGUGGGGAAUUUUGGACAAAGGGCGAAAGCCUGAUCCAGCAAUGCCGCGUGUGUGAAGAAGGCCUUCGGGUUUUAAAGCACUUUUGUCCGGAAAGAAAUGGCUCUGGUUAAUACCUGGGGUCGAUGACGGUACCGGAAGGAUAAGGACCGGCUAACUACGUG
rnacentral:rRNA from 1 species